UACGUAGGGGGCAAGCGUUGUCCGGAAUCAUUGGGCGUAAAGCGCGCGUAGGCGGCCCGAUAAGUCCGCUGUAAAAGUCCAGGGCUCAACCCUGGAAAGCCGGUGGAUACUGUCGGGCUAGAGUCCGGAAGAGGCGAGUGGAAUUCCUGGUGUAGCGGUGGAAUGCGCAGAUAUCUGGAGGAACACCGGUGGCGAAGGCGGCAUCCUGGACCGGUAUUGACGCUGAGGAGCGAAAGCCAGGGGAGCAAACGGG
rnacentral:rRNA from 1 species